UCUACUGGGUGUCUGUGUCAGCUCAGUUGGACUACAUGUGGGCUGCAGCAGGCAUGUGGAGCAGGGGUGGAUGGGGAAGAUGUAUGCAUCUAUUGGAAGCCGGUGCUGGUCACACAGAGGGGCACCGGAAUAUCCAGCUGAAGAUCAAGGACUUUACUCCUGUGAGAGGAGCCUGAGGGCUCUGAGAGGAAAGGGGCCAGGUGACACUGCUCCAGGGAGAGAGACCAAGGAGCUGGUAUUUGCACUGAGGUACUUUGGAGGCCAGUCCAACUAUAGCUGUAUUGCCUGCUGCUGUCUGAGCUGUGGGAUUUUGGGGUGUCACCAGAGGCCAGAGUCUUAUGACUUGGGGCAAGAGAGAAACACACCAACAAAUUUCUAGUGGUAUUCUGGCUGAUUUUGGUUGCUUCCACUGACUCAUGCCAAUUUAGCGGGAG
rnacentral:lncRNA from 1 species